rnacentral:tRNA from 1 species
GCCCGGUUAGCUCAGUCGGUAGAGCAUUCGGCUUUUAACCUAUAAGAUGCCUCAGGCAAAUGGGAAACUGGGCG